rnacentral:rRNA from 1 species
CCUACGGGAGGCAGCAGUGGGGAAUAUUGGGCAAUGGGCGCAAGCCUGACCCAGCAACGCCGCGUGAAGGAAGAAGGCUCUCGGGUUGUAAACUUCUUUUUUGAGGGACGAAAAAAGUGACGGUACCUCAGGAAUAAGCCACUGCUAACUACGUGCCAGCAGCCGCGGUAAUACGGAGGUGGCAAGCGUUAUGCGGAUUUAUUGGGUGUAAAGGGCGUGUAGGCGGGAAAGCAAGUCAGAUGUGAAAACUCAGGGCUCAACCCUGGGCCUGCAUCUGAAACUGUUUUUCUUGAGUGCUGGAGCGGCAGUCGGAAUGCCGUGUGUAGCGGUGAAAUGCGUAGAGAUACGGAAGAACACCGGUGGCGAAGGCAGAUUGC